GGCUGUAAACACCAGGGAGGAAUAUUCCGAGGGGAUUGGGACAGGUAGCUGCAGAUGAGGGGUGGGGUGGUUGGCUCCACACCCCCACCCAAUUCUGAGACCCUUGUCACCUGGAGGAUGUCAGCAGCAGACGACACUUAGGCAGUACACUCUGGUUUGCGGUGGAUUUGGGUGGAUCUCCCAGGAACAUCUUCCCAUAAACCUUCUGCAUACAAAAUAUUCCUUCCAGCCUCUGUUUCCAAGGAAGCCACUCUAAGACCCCCAUCUUCUUGGCAGUUCUGUGCUGAGACCUGGCAUCUUUUCAGCACCAAGAAAAUCAUCUUAGAACAUCUGGGUCCCUUUAUGGCUUAAAAUUCCAUAGAAAAAAUGGGCUUUCCAGCUGUAGCUCAUGGCUGAACGUCUGCUGUUUGCUGAGCAAGUCCCUGGAUGAUUUGGAUACUGUUGUGGCCACCUCAGAUGUUGAUAUAAAACAAAGAGAGACAGUGAGAAGCACAUUCCAUUUAAAUAAUCAAACAAAAUCCAAACGCUUGUACACCACAGCUGUUUAGGAGGAAACCGCUCCAGUUCCUUGGCUCCCUCCAACGAGGGGCCUUCUGUCUUCCGAAGUGGUGUUUGUCUUGUGGUUUUUACUUACAAGUGCAAAACUGAGGUUUCUGUUUCCUAGGUGACCAGCCCAAACUAGAAAGGCAUACUUUGUAGUCAGGCGAGGACUUCACUUUGUCCCCCACACGGAACACCCAAGGGAUAUUUCCAGAAAACAUCUGGUUGGGUCAGUCCCCUGCCUAGGAACUCCAGGGGUACUCCAUCAUCUUCAGAAUAAAAUUCAAGUUCUUUGAUCUAGGAUUCAAAAUCCUUUGUGAAUCCCAGCUUCCUCUCAAGCCAGUUCUCAGGCAUUCCAAGCUCCAGCCCCAAUAAAUCAUGGAUGCUUUCCUUGAA